GCAAUAACGAAGUUCAAGCUUUCCUUAACAAUUUCAACUUGGUUCCCGAGUUUAAUUGUUAUCUGAUGUAUAUAACAGCGCACUUAACGGUUGAUCUAUACGAACAUCUACAUUUGCAAUCUCUUUCUUCCAAAGAGGCAAGCAUAGAAACUUCCAGAGCCUUGUCCGCAAUCAUGCUAAAAAAUAACGUUCUAAAUGCUUACAAAAAUAUAUCUCCUUUCUUAGAUUAUAUUCAAAAAGAGUCAAUUUCUUGCCUCGGAGACAACCAGCUCAUUAUUAGAAACGUGAC